AUUGAACGCUAGCGGGAUGCUUUACACAUGCAAGUCGAACGCGUGGAGGACGGGUGAGUAAUAUAUCGGAACGUGACCAGUAGCGGGGGAUAACUAAUCGAAAGAGUGGCUAAUAACGCCUACUAUUGGGGCGGCCGAUAUCGGAUUAGCUAGUUGGUGGGGUAAAGGCUACCAAAGGCAACGAUCCCUAGCUGGUUUGAGAGGACGACAAGCCACACUGGGACUGAGACACGGCCCAGACUCCUACGGGAGGCAGCAGUGGGGAAUUUUGGACAAUGGGGGAAACCCUGAUCCAGCCAUCACGCGUGUAUGAGAAGGCCUUCGGGUUGUAAAGUACUUUUUGCAGAGAAGCGGUAUCUGCAGAAUAAGCACCGGCUAACUACGUGCCAGCAGCCGCGGUAAUUC
rnacentral:rRNA from 1 species